GGCUUAUGUUGUAUCUGCGGGCUAAUGCUGCAGAAGGUUUUAAUGGUGGUUAUUACUAUAAUGGCCGUGGCAUGAUGAUGACCAAAGCUACCAGUGUCUCCAAACUUCAAAGUAAAGAUAAUCUAUUGUCAAUGUCCUCUAUAUCAUACAAGUGCCUCGGGUGACAUCAUCUAUAUCGCAGCCCUGAAAACGCUGAACAUCUAGAGAAACCGCAUGAUAUAUGUGAUCCAUAUAGUAACCCUCAAGCACAAGAGUUGGUCCAAAUUCUUCCUCAUCCAGGAUGGUCGGUCCACGGUUAUCCCGAUAAGCAAGGAGAUGAUUGGAUUGGGGAUCCCAUGACUUGGGAGCUCGAUGACUUGGAAGUAAAGACGUCUUUACUUCUACCAGUCCCGGGAAAUAAAUCAGUAAAGCGAGUGUGGACAUCCAUCAGUGUUGGUACAGAAAUAUAUGUUAGCAAUAGACAAGAAGAGUGACUUUGAUGUUUUUGUUCCAAUACAAACAAUCCUCGUGAACAUGGAGGUUGUAGCAACACUCGUCGCUUUUGCUUUCUUUGUUUUUUUUUUAUUCUCACAAGCGAAAGCUCAUGUGCCUCGAUUACACAUGAUGUCUUCUUUUUGUUUAAUUUUUUGAACCUGAUACACAAAAAUAUAUGAAAAGGAAUCAUUUUCUU